rnacentral:rRNA from 1 species
GACAGAGGGUGCAAACGUUGUUCGGAAUUACUGGGCGUAAAGCGAGUGUAGGCGGUUUGGUAAGUCGGAUGUGAAAGCCCCGGGCUCAACCCGGGAAGUGCACUCGAUACUACCAAGCUAGAGUAUCGGAGAGGUUGGUGGAAUUCUCGGUGUAGAGGUGAAAUUCGUAGAUAUCGAGAGGAACACCGGUGGCGAAGGCGGCCAACUGGACGAAUACUGACGCUGAGACGCGAAAGCGUGGGGAGCAAACAGG